rnacentral:tRNA from 1 species
GGAGAGUUGCCAGAGUUGGUCUAAUGGUCCCCGUUGGAAGCGGGUGAGUCUUAACGGGCACAGAGGUUCGAAUCCUCUACUCUCCGCCA